AUUUGGAUGGACGUGACAAUCUUUAUGUAGCCUACAUUGUGUGUCGAAAGAGCGACUCGAGCUGCUUCGUAAAAGGAUGUAGAACUUCUAGUUUUAUGGAUAACGAUAAUGGCGUAAAAGUUGACUUAUUAUAUGUUCGCCGAAUGCGAUAGACAAGUCCUUCAUUGAUAGAAAUCUAUUCUAUAGUUGUUACCUUAAGGUACGAUUAUUUUAUGAUUUAAUUGGUGGGAAAAUGGGCCAUUUAUACUCAGAAAUCAUACAAG